GUGGGCAUAGCUCAGUGUAGAGCACAUGCUUAGCAUGCACAAGGUCCUGGGUUCAGUCCCCGGUACCUCCA
rnacentral:tRNA from 1 species